CCGGGGCGGGCUGCUCCUGCCUUACUUCGGCCUCUAGUCUCGGGUUGGACGCCCUGGAGGUCGGGCGGCCAGCCAAGGGGUAGGCGGCGGCCGGCGGGAGAAGGGGGCGUGUCGGCGCCGGAGAGCCCCGGGCUCGCCCGCAGCCAGGUCCGCCCGGCAGCCCGGCUCUGCUUGGUUCGCGACGAAAGUUACCUGGGAGUAUAUUUAGCUGGCGUUUUGCGUGGAAUCGCAGAGGGGAUAUUGGCGGAACCUUUAGAUACCAUCUAGUCCAGUCCCACUUUGCUAGAGAAGGGGGAACCUAGCGAAAGUAAAGGACUUGUCUCAAAUCCAGAGUCAGGGCCAUGGCUGUCUGCUCAUUCCUUUAUUUCCAGCACUAAGUGCAUUGCCUGACCCAGAGCAGGCGCUCAAACAUUUGUUAAGGGUCAUUUCAUUCUAGGGACAAACAACUCAAAUACUUUAGCAAAUAAAUUACAAUAUAAAAAUAUUUUUGAAAGAGGGAAAUGAGCCUGUAGAUGAAGAGACUUAGCCAAAUGUUCGGAUCAUGAUUCUAACAAACCAGUUGUAAAAAUUUUUUAAAACAGGAGAAUUUGAAAAUUGACUGUGUAUUUGACGUUAAGGAAUUGAUGUUUGAAGUUUUUAGUUGUGAUAAUGCUGUUAAGCUCAAGCUUUAAAAAGGAAAAGAAUUUUAGAGACACAUAGUGCAUAUUGUAUGAAUGAAAUUAUGUCUGAGAUUUGCUUCAGAGAUAUCCAGGGCGGAGGAUUUGUUUUGACCAUCCCCCACAAAUAUAAGAAAUACAGCCAGGAAACUGGUGCUGGACUUUGAAGGACUCUGAACCUAGGAGCCGAGGAACAUAGCAGGGAACAGCACACAGGCGAUAAUCUCCACCAUCCCUGCCCCUCCCGCAGCCACAGGGCCACUGGUUGCUGUGAACUGGGGAAGUGCCCCAGCAAAAGGGCCUGCUUCUCUAACCACCACAGACCAUGCCUAUACAAAGAGACAGGACCCCAAGCUUAUGCUCUAAACUCAAGGCAGACCUCCCCAGGGGGCCUUUUGAAGUGUGCCGGUACCUUACCCACUCAGACACUGUUGGGCUGCAAGCCUACUGUGAAUUGCUACAGAAGGCCCCUGAGGUGGAGUCAGCUCCCAUAGUCGGCACUCUACCUGCCUCCCUAUCCACCCCGUAGCUCAGGCCUCUGAAACCAACAGGACAGACCUCCCUGGGGAUAAAUUUGGGUUAGUCUGCCCCACUUCCAGUUGGUGCUGAGGACUGCUCACUGAGGCUGUUGUGUGCUAGGAAGAAGGCAUCUUGAGUGGAGGCGGCACUCAGAGCCAACAAUCUAUGGGGAGGGAUGAGGGGGGUUGGGGAGGGAGACUCUGAUAGCAACAAGGCAGACCUCCUUGGAGAUCCAACUGAAGCAUGGCACCCCCUCCCCCACCUGGUAAUUGUUGGGUUGCCAGGCUGUUGCAACUGCUGCAGAAGGCCCUGCAGUGAAGCCUGCUCCAUAGUCACCCCUCUACCUGCCUCCUUGUGUACCCCAUAGCUCAGGUGUCUGAAACCAAUAGGAAGACCUCCCUGGGGGCCAGUUUGAGUUUUUUUAUUCCCCCUUGCAGUCAAGUCAGCCCAGAGCCCUGAUGGCGCUAGGCUGCCAACCAAAGGGUCAGCAGUUCGAAUCUACCAGCCACUCCUUGAAAUCCCUAUGGAGCAGUUCUACCUGUCCUAUAGUUUUGCUAUGAGUCGGAAUCGACUCGAUGGCAAGGGGUUUGGUUUUUUUCUUUUUUUGAUACACCUAGAGUAAUCAAAACAGCCUGCUACUAGUAUAAGUAUAGACACAUAGACCAGUGGAAUUGAAUCGAGAGUCGGGAAAUAAACCCACACAUCUAGGAUCAACUGAUUUUGACAAGGACGCUCUAAGUCCAUUCAAUGGGGAAAAAAGAUUUUGUUUAAUAAAUGAUGCUAGGAAAAUUGAAUUUCCUCAUGCAGGAUAAUGAAACAGGAUCCAUGCCUCACACCAUACACAAAAACAAAUUAAAAAUGGAUUAAGGACCUAAAUAUGCAAACUAAAAUCAUAAAAUUUUCACAAAAUGCAGGGGCAAUGCUGUAAGGCCUAGCUUUUAACAAUGGAUUAUCUAGUAUAAUAUCAAAAGUACAAACUGCAAAAGACAAAUAAAUGGCACCUCACAAAAAUUAAAAACGUUUGUUCAUCAAAAGACUUUACAAAAAAAAAAGGGAAAAGACAACUGACUGGGAGAAUAUCUUUGAAAAACGAAUAUAAGAAUCUAAUAACUAAAAUAUAUAUAAAACUUUGACAACAACAAAAAGACAAGCCAAUCAUAAAAUGGGCAAAGAACUUAAAUACACAUUUCACCAAAGAGGACGUUCAAAUCAUGACCGAAGACACAAAAAGAUGUUUGACAUGAUUAGCCAUCACAGAGAUACAAAUCAAAACCACAAUGAGACACCAUUUCACUCCUACUUGAAUGGCUAAGAUAAAACGAACAGAAAAUACAAAUGUUGGUGAGGAUGUGGGGAACUUGGAACCCUUAUCUGUUGCUGGUGGGAAUGCACAAUGGUUGAGCUGCUGUGGGAAACAGUGUGGCAGUUCCUGAAAAAACUAAAAAUAGAACUACCAUAUGACCCAGCUAUAUACUCAAAAGGCUUGAAAGCAGAGACUCAAAAAGAGACUUGCACACUGGUGUUCAUUGCAGUGCUAUUCCUGAUAGCCCGAAGGUGGAAACAACCUAAAUGCCCAUCAGAUGAGUGGAUAAACAAAGUGUGGUACAUACAUACAAUGGAAUUCUACUCAGCCGGAAUGUUUCUUUAAAAAAAGAAGAAGCUUAUAAGGAGUUCUUUGAAGCUCAGCCCUCCCACAGCACAGCACCUUUGAGCACCAUGAGACUCGGGAGAAAUGUGCAGAGUGGCUGAUGGAGAUGUCUGGGAAUGCUGCAGUCUAAGCAGAUGGAUUUGUGGUUCCAGGCAGUCGUAGAUGACGACAUGCCUACCCUUGACUGAAGACAGGUCCUGCUUCUCGGUGAUGGUUGUUAGUCGUUCUCUUCAACCAAGGUCACACAGGGAGGAAGGUGAUCUUCUCCUUACCAACACCGCUUCUCCUGGCUGCCAGUCAGGCCAACCAGAUAAGCCCUGAUAAUCCAGAAGGUGACAGGUGCUUCAUCCCAUAGCCUCUGCUCUGUCUGAAAGGUGUAGAUGGUUGCCUUGCCUUGUGCUAGGUCCUGGGAGUCACCUUGGGUAGAGGGGAGGGAAGGAGCAGGAAACCAGCAUUGUUGCAGAGCUGUACAUUCAGCGUCUUGGUUAAGUAUGACCGGCUCAAAAAAAAAAAAAGACCACCCUUAAUAUAAACUUGGAGCUCUUUGAAGGCAAGUCCUCUGUCUUAAAAAACUGUCUUAGGCAUCGCUUUAUUCACAAUGCCUUGCUUAGCAUCUGGCACAUAGUAGGUAUUCACCCAGUAUCUACUGAAUAAGUGAUUACCCCUGUAGUUACCAGGUAACCAAGGAGUUCAUGGAGGUGAAGAGGAGAACGGAUGUGUCCCAUCUCCACUUCCCUAACCCCACAUGAGUACAUCAUCCCACUGGUAUAUGGAUAAGUUCUAGGUCCCAAGCACAACGUACAGAAAAGCUGCUUACCUCUUGUUAGUUGUGAAAUAGCUUUCCCCUGCAAAGAAAGGGGGCAAAUUUUAUGCAUGAAUGCAGGGUUUUAUAUAGCCUUGGAGUUCUUUUUUAACUUUCUUCAAAAGCUGAUAAGUUAAAAGCAUUCUUGGGGGAUAGAAAGAACUAGUUCUUGGUUUUGGUACUGCCCACAAAAACAGUAUUUCCCAGGAAGCCAGGUCUUCUAAACAGCUAACCCUUUAACUUGACGAUGAUAUCAUCCAGUCAUUGAGCAUUAACAAAAAAAAAAGGAAGGAAGGAAGGAAGGGAGGGAGGGAAGGAGAGGGGAAAGAAGGAGGAAAGAAAGAGCUCUUGCCAGCCACCUCUGUCUGCUUACCAGAGGCUUAUGUGCUCAUCCAGCUCUCCGUGGCCACAGGUUACUGGGUUUAGAUGUCCCAAUCUUGGAAUGUUACAGCUGGAACAUCAUGUAUAGGGAGUCUCCAGAAUACCAUCUCAAAUCACUACUCUAAUAAUAAUUCCAAGACCAAAUUGAAUAAGAAAUUACGGAAACAGCUAGAGGGGAUUGAAAAAGAUGAUCAAAUGAACGCUGUUGGAGAAAUAAAAGACUGGAGGGAUAGGUAACUCUAAGCUAGGCAUUCCUGGGGAGUUGAGGAUGGCCAUUCCAAAGCAUGUCACUCAUGACCUGAUAGCCCUACUAAAUUGCCCAAAAAAACAAGGUCUAAAAGGAAAGCUGUAAAGUGUUUUAUAAUAUGUAAAGAUUCCCAUCUGCCAAUCCAUUGCUCACUCCCCACCGUGGAGGAUACCAAGAGUUCUCCAUACAGAACAAAGCCAGCCUCUUUUGAUGGUCAUUAGCAAGCUGCUUCUUCCUCCUGGGCCUCACUCACCCAGUGUAUUAGAGACUCUGGCAAUACUGGUAACUAACAUGUACUGAGUGCUGACUGUGCUGAGUGCUCCACAUGGAAUAUCUCAUUUAGUCCUCCCAACAACUCUAUGACAUAGAUAGGUUUCUGUCAUGAUACAAAUGAAAAAAAUAAGACUUUGAGAGCUUAGAUAACUUGCCCAAGGCCAUGCAACUAAUAAGUAAGUAGAGGAGCAAGGAUUCAAAUCCAGGUCUGCCCAUUACCCAUGCUUUUAAAAAUUCUCAUUUUUACACUGCAGGAUUUCAAAUUUCAUUUGCUAAAAUAACUGGUCCACUUUUUCUCUGUGUUAUAUGGCUGUCUUGAAAUAGUCCUGCUUCAACAAUCCCUGCUUUGGCCUGUCAGAGCCCCAAAAUGGUUUCUAAGAGACCAAGUCUGGUAGGGAAUGAACACGUCGAAUCCCCGUUAAAGCCAUGUUCGUGAGGGAUGUCGUGCUUUCUAGUACCAGUCAUUGAAUUUCUACUGUGAAAGGUUGGAGAGAUUCUUGAGUCAUGGCCAACUCAAGAAUCUGUGAUUACGUGCUCAAUUCUGUAAAUCAGAUAUUCAGACAGAACAAAGCAGGGAUUAUUUCUGCUCCACAAUAUCUGGGGCCUCAACAGGAGUGGCUGGAGAUAUCUGGGAUGGUUCAACUGGGGCCAUAUAUCAGGAGCCUUGGUUCUGUCAGCUCCUUGACUCUUCUCUAUGUGGCAUCUGCUGGAACUGAAAUGUCCAAAAUGGCUUUUUCACUCAUGUGUCUGAUGGCUCCAUGUGGCCUCUGUCUCCAACACAGUAGCCUUAUCUUCUUAUAUUGUUGCUCAGGGCUCCAAGAGCCCAUUUAUUCAUGCCCUUCUCCACUUCACUUCACCUGUACUACCCAUAACCCUUCUGGGGGAACUGCCUGGUUCAGCCCCUGCUGCCCAAAUGGCUGUGUCAUACCACAUGACCCUGCCCUGUGCUGUCCCUCCUCCCCCACACCACACAUACAUCCAAUAUAGGCUGGCCAAUGACUUUUGAAGUCAUCUGGCUCAAAAAUAUAAGGAAAGCCAAUCAGAUUCCACUUUAUGAAAAUUUGAACAAAGAAAUCAGACAACAUAGGCAGUGUGCUACAAGAUGCCGUGAAGAUAAGUAGGACCUGGAUGGACCAAUUCGUAAGCCAAAAUGGCAUGAAGAGGACACUUGGAAAUUUUUUUUUAAAUAAAGAAAUCUGUGACAUGAAGAAAACCCACUCACAGUGGAGGGAAAAAUAAGCAUUUUUGGCAAGAGAAUAAAGGAAGGAAAGACCAGAGGAGAGCUGGAACCCCAUGAGAGGCAGAGAGAGGAAUGAGCCCUAGAGCUGCCUUAGUGCCCCAUGGCUCACCAGGCCCAGCCUUGCCCAUGUGUGUCAUUGCGGCAAGCUUGCUAAUUACUUCUUUUGCUGUCAGCUGGCUUCAAAGUGGGCGUAUGACUCAGUUCUGCCAACGAAACUUAAGGGGAAAUUGGCUGAAGGAACUCCUGGGAAGAAUUUUGUUUUUUAGUUAAAAUAGGGAUGGUAAAGAACCUGUCCCUUCUUCCUGCUUUGAACAGUAAUAUAUAAGAACAUGAUGCUUGGAGCUGAAGCAGAGAUCUUGAGAUAAUGAGGCAACAAGACCAAGGAAAAAACCCGACAUGCUGAAGAUGGCAGAGCAGACAGACAAAAAAUGCCUGAGUUCUUGAUGAUAUUGUUGAGCCACUGUGCCUAUCCUGGAACCAGGCUUAUUGAUAUAUAAGUUAAAUGUCUUCAUUUUGGAAGCAGAUUUCUGUUACUUGCAGCCUGAAGCAUUUCUAACCCAUAUAGCACUGCUCUGAACCUUUGUAUUAUUAAUUCCUUGGAGCCCCAUGCCUCUUGCUAUAACUCCAAAUGGAAAAUAAACCCAAGUUUAGACAACGGAAAUACUGCUUAUGUGGUAGGGAAUAAAAAGUCAGGACUUGUCACAGUCCACAGAGCAAUUCCAGCACUUAGUCCCAGCCUGGACCUAUAGAGGACACAGAGAGGAAAGAAAGAAAUAUUCAGGAACAUUGCAGAGGUAUGAGCAUGUGUCUUCUAAAAUGGGUCUUAAUGAUGAAUUUUAGGAAGAACAAGUUCAGUGAGGGCUUUACUACCGAACACAUGGAGCCUAAGUAAGGGCAAGAAAAGCAGGGAAGGCCAAGGAAGGAGCAGCAGGUUGGAAUGGGCAAAUGGGAAGUAGGCCGGAUGAAUUUCUAUGAGCUCUAUGUUUUUUUCUAUGUACUAGCUAGAAGUUUAUGGCAGCUGGAAGUAAACUGGUGAAAAACUAGGCCUUUUGGUUACUCUCCAGCCAACCUUACUGAUGUUUUAGGUUCUCUGAGGAAUAUGGUGCCCUGAGUUGUGGCCCGCUACUGCCAUUCUCUGUGUACAGGUGCUCCCCAUCCUCUUCAUUUUCUCUUCCCCACC